GGUGAGGUAACGGCUCACCAAGGCGACGAUGGGUAGCCGACCUGAGAGGGUGAUCGGCCACACUGGAACUGAGACACGGGUCCAGACUCCUACGGGAGGCAGCAGUGGGGAAUAUUGGGCAAUGGGCGCAAGCCUGACCCAGCAACGCCGCGUGAGGGAAGAAGGUCUUCGGAUUGUAAAACCUCUGUCCCUUGGGGGACGAAAAAAAAUGACGGUACCCCAAGGAGGAAGCUCCGGCUAACUACGUGCCAGCAGCCGCGGUAAUACGUAGGGAGCGAGCGUUGUCCGGAAUUACUGGGGCGUAAAGGGUGCGUUAGGCGGCUUGGCAAGUCAGAUGUGAAAUCCCUGGGCUUAACUCGGGGAGUUGCAUUUGAAACUGCUAGGCUUGAGUGCAGGAGAGGAAAGCGGAAUUCCUAGUGUAGCGGUGAAAUGCGUAGAUAUUAGGAGGAACACCAG
rnacentral:rRNA from 1 species